UACAGAGGUCUCAAGCGUUGUUCGGAUUCAUUGGGCGUAAAGGGUGCGCAGGCGGCUCGGUAAGUCGGGGGUGAAAUCUCGGAGCUUAACUCCGAAACUGCAUUCGAUACUGCCGUGCUUGAGGACUGGAGAGGAGACUGGAAUUUACGGUGUAGCGGUGAAAUGCGCAGAUAUCAGGAAGAACACCCGUGGCGAAGGCGGCUCUCUGGGACGGUACUGACGCUGAGACGCGAAAGCGUGGGGAGCGAACAGG
rnacentral:rRNA from 1 species